AUUAAAGAGUUCUAUAACUCCCAAACCCAUGUGAACAUACCUAACGUUGCCUCGGCAGGUCGCACCUACCUUGUAGCACCCUACCCUGUAGGGCCUACCCGGGAGGUGCGGGUAAGCCUGCCGGCGGCCCACCAAACUCUGUUUGAUAUUGAAUUCUGAACCUAUAACUAAAUAAGUUAAAACUUUCAACAACGGAUCUCUUGGUUCUGGCAUCGAUGAAGAACGCAGCGAAAUGCGAUAAGUAAUGUGAAUUGCAGAAUUCAGUGAAUCAUCGAAUCUUUGAACGCAUAUUGCGCCCAUUAGUAUUCUAGUGGGCAGGACCGUUCGAGCGUCAUUUCAACCCUUAAGCCUUCGUUGCUUAGUGUUGGGAGCCUACGGCAACGUAGCUCCUCAAAGUUAGUGGCGGAGUUGGUUCACACUCUAGACGUAGUAAUUUUUUAUCUCGCCUAUUAGUUGGACUAAUCCCCUGCCGUAAAACCCCCAAUUUAUCAAGGUUGACCUCGAAUCGGUUCAGACAAACUCGCUAAAUUGAAGCAUCUUAGUCAGCGAAGGAAAAGAAACCAACAGGGAUUGCCCUAGUAACGGCGAGUGAAGCGGCA
rnacentral:rRNA from 1 species